rnacentral:lncRNA from 1 species
AUUUUUAUCUUCCUUCCCCUUCCCCACCAUCUCUUUUUUCACUCCUUUGCCUUCUCUUCAUGCUUCCCUGGCUUAAGACCCUUGUACCAACAUUGUUUAUUCCUGCAUAUGGCCAAAGAGUUGCUGACCUCUGCCUUCCCUCAUGAAAUUUUCAAACACACCUGCUCCUGUGCCUUGCAAAUGAGUCCUAUCUGAACCUCCAAUCACACCAGGGUGCCAAGCAUCCCUAGCUGCAGAAUAUCUGGUCUCCAGGCAACCAGAGAGGAGCAUUCCAUCUUCAGAAAAGGUACGAAGUGCUCUCUUGCCCUGAAAGCCCUCUAAAGUUGAAGGCAAGGGUUUGGAAGAGAUUCAAAUCAAACUCUCUAUAAGCUGGGCUCCCUCUGGUGAUAAAUGACUUUAAAAAAGGAAACAAGAGGGUAGCUAAGGAGGAUAUCAACUCUCAUUCGCCAACACAUGAUAAUAUAGAGAUGUCAGAAAUAAAUAAUUGGUCUAAAGCUGCACUGGCUAAUUUGAUAACCAUUAGCCACAGGUGGCUAUUCAAAUUUAAACUGAUACAAAUUUAAUUAAAGUUUCAUUCCCCAGGCACAAUAGCCACAUUUCAAGUUCUCAGUAGCCACAUGUAGCUGCACUGGAAAGGACUGCAGAUGCAGAAAUAGAGAGAAAUAGAGAGAGAGGGAAAAAGGAAGAGAAGAAAUGAGACAUUUGGUAUUACUCACAUCCUUUUGGGUAAUCAGGAGAUAAAGACAGAGAAGGAAAGACAGAGAAAGAAAAGAAAACAUAAAUAAUUGAAAGAGAAUAAAACUGCAGGUCUGAGAUCAAGACUUUUUCCUCCCAGCUUUAUACAUUCUAAGAGACAUGUGAAUAAUGUGAGAGGAGCACACUUUCCCAAGCACUUGAUUUUAAGAGCCUGUCUUGGGUGUAAGUAAACUGAGUAUGGAGGCUCACCUCUAUGGGAGGCUAGAGUUCUUGCAGCCAAUUAGUUGCUUUGACCUGAAUCGACUCAUUUUCAUUUAGAUGUUUUCUUGCAACCUACCAACGAGCAUCUUGUAUCACCCCCCCACACCUGCCCUUUCCUCUAAAUCUGAGAAUGACUAUGGCAAUGGGGAUAGAACAGCACAUGUAUUAGAAGUGAAGAGCAUUACUGAGAAUUUAGAGACUAUGUCUAGUUUGGAGGAACCCAAGGGAACUUCAAGAAAAGUAAUCAGAGUGAGUAGGAAAGAAUACAUAAUGCAAAUUAUUCCCUCCAGGAACUUUACUUCAAAAAGAACAAGUGCAUUUCCCUGAAGGACACCAGUACUGUCAAAUGUAACUGUUCACCAUGCUUCUCCAAGGCACCAAAUGGGCUUUUAAGUCACAUUCCUGCAGGUUUAACCAUGGAUUCAAAAUAGAAACUGUAAAUUUGCUCUCUAAGUUUGUAUUGACAUGCAGAUAGUAUUGGGGUUAUUGUGUGGCCUCACUAGGAUAUCUGCUUAUAAUUUAAUGAGAGAUUUGGUAAAAAUGGACUGGUUGACAUCACAGAGGUUUCAGCAUUUUUGACCCUCUAUUUUAUGUGGUGAACCCCAAGACCAACUGAGAUCAAAACUUCUGGCAGCCUCUGAAAAUAUCUGCUGAAGAUAUUUGUGGAAUAUAAGCUUAUCCUACAAAUUAACAACAAUAAUAAAGAUAUAAUAUUCAUUUAUAUUCCCUUAGAAUUAAUGAGCCAUUUCAUUGUCUUAGCUAUUUCCUUGAAGGGGAGAGAACAGGUCAAAGCACAACCACUUCCAUAAAACAGAGAAAACCGCUCCUAUUUUAUGACACACUGAUGGAAAAAGACAGGCCUAAAAGUUCUUCCACCCUUCACCUCUGUACCUUCAGUUCCCAAAUACCAUUUCUGCGAUAGAUAGAUGAUAGAUGGAUAGAUAGACAGAUAGAUAGAUAGAGAGAUAGAUAGAUAGAUAGAUAGAUAGAUAGGUGGGAAGACAGACUGACAGACAAUUGGGGAAUGUAGUUAGUCUGGCAUUAACCUUCAUUUAUCCGUCUAUGUGAACAGCACUAAGAAUACACAGAUAGCUAACACAUAAUCCAUGCACUGAGGUGACUCAAAGUUAAAAGGGAGACAUACAUUUAUAACGCAUUACGAUGACUGUGGUAGCGUCAGAAACUAAUUGCUUUAGGAGUACAGAGGAAGAAGUAAUUAAUUCUCCCUGAGGGUUUAGAGGAAGAUUCAUGAACAAACCUGUGCUGCUCUGCAAUGUCACUACACAUCCAGAAGCCAAUGGGAGUGAAGUCAAGGGCAAAGUGGGUAAGGACCAGACACUGUACGCCCAUAGAUGACCCCUCUCCUAUUAUAGUGCACCCCAACAAGGUUAUCUAUCCACACAUAUUGUUUCCAACUAAACCAACACUUUUCCUGGUUCUUGACAUCAACACUUAAGGAGUUAAAGCUCCUCUCCAGAACUAUUGCUUUGAAAGCAGCCUUUAUACCUCUACUGAGUAGAGAGCAGUCAGUCAUUAGAGCCACAAAGAGCCAUGCACUCAGGAACACAUAUACACACCCUACUUAAAUGUAUAUAUGCAUGCAUGCAUGUAUGUAUGCAUAUAUAUAUAUGCAUAUUAAGUAAAUGAUAUACAAAUAUAUGAAGUAAAUAUAUACAGGUAUUAUUAAACACCUGAGUAGGUAGCUCUUUGCUAGGGCUCAAGGAAUAAAAAUCAGCAUAAGACAUUUGCCUAUAAAAAGUUUGUAGUACAGUGAAGUAUAUGGCAUGCCCUACCAUAGUCAUUGCUAGCACAAAGGGGAAAGACGAGGGCAUUUUGUAAUACUCUCUUCAGCUCAAGCUGCUACCAAGAAAGCUGGGAAAUAACAUUAUGAGAUAAUCCAGUCUUCCCCACCUGUAAGUACCAACUAACAAACAAAAAGUUUAUGUAAAUAAAAGGAACUACCACUAAAUAUUAAUAGAUCCAAUAUAUUCAGCCCAUGACCACCAGGAAGCUGCAUUCUCUCAGCAGUGUCUUAUUUAAGGUUGAUGCUGUCUUCCUAGCCACAUAAAUCACUCUAAGAGAGAAUAGAGUUUUUCCCUGUGGAGUCUGUGAUUACAGACAGGUAUCCCAGUUUGGGAUCAGGAAAGCCCUCGUUCUAAACUAAACAUGGCUACAGAAGUAGUUGAUUGCCUUUGGCUGUUUUUGUUUCCUCAUCUAAAAGAGAAGCCCUGGCCUAAAUGAUCAGCACAAUGAUUGCCAAUUCUGAUGUUACUCUCCAGGCAGAGGCAACCAUUCCUGAGAGUGGCACCCAAAUGGCACCG